UACGUAGGCAGCAAGCGUUGUCCGGAAUUACUGGGCGUAAAGGGUGCGUAGGCGGCUUCUUAAGUCUGGUGUGAAAUCUCCCGGCUCAACUGGGAGGGUGCGCCGGAUACUGAGGGGCUAGAGUGUGGGAGAGGAAAGUGGAAUUCCUGGUGUAGCGGUGAAAUGCGUAGAUAUCGGGAAGAACACCCGUGGCGAAAGCGGCUCACUGGACCACAACUGACGCUGAGGCGCGAAAGCUAGGGGAGCAAACAGG
rnacentral:rRNA from 1 species